rnacentral:tRNA from 1 species
GAUUAAAUAGUUUAAAUUAAGAUUUUAAUUUGUGGUAUUAAAGAUAUAAAUAAUAUUUUAUUUUAGUCA